UACAGAGGUCUCAAGCGUUGUUCGGAUUCAUUGGGCGUAAAGCGCGUGUAGGCGGCUUGGCAAGUCGGAUGUGAAAGCCCACGGCUCAACCGUGGAAGCGCAUCCGAAACUGCUUCGCUUGAGUCUCGGAGAGGAAGGUGGAAUGCUUGGUGUAGAGGUGAAAUUCGUAGAUAUCAAGCAGAACACCUGCGGCGAAGGCGGCCUUCUGGACGAUGACUGACGCUGAGACGCGAAAGCGUGGGGAGCAAACAGG
rnacentral:rRNA from 1 species